AGCCUAACAUUUAUGAUGAUGCCAUAAAUUGCAAAGAUUCUAAGAAUUGGAUAGCAGCUACGGAAAUGAGUUCAUUUCAUGAAAAUAAAACUUGGAAAUUAGUUGAAAAGCCAAAAGAAGGGAUUUAUAGAGUGAGGAAAUAAUAGUGUAAGAUAUAAGGCUAGACUAGCAGCAAAGGGGUUUACACAAAAAGAAGGUGUAGAUUACAUUGCAAUAUUUUCUCAUGUAGCAAAAUACACUACAAUAAGAUGUUUGCUUGCUUUAGUUGCUCAAUUUGGUUGGGAACUUGACCAGUUAGAUGUUAAAACCGCUUUCCUUUAUGGUGACCUAGAAGAGACAAUUUAUAUGAAAUAGCCUAUUGGGUUUGUGAAGGGUUUGUGAAAGGGAAUCAUGAAAAUAUUGUGUGCCUGUUAAAAAAGUUACUGUAUGACCUAAAACAGGCUCCUAGGCAGUGGUACAAAAGAUUUGAUUUUUUUGUAUUGAAACUUGGUUUUCAAAUGAGCAAUUAUGACACGUGUUUGUAUUGUAGAGGUAAAGGAGGUAAACAUUCUCUUUAUCUUGUACUUUAUGUGGAGGACAUGCUGCUUACAAGUUGUGAUAAAUCUGAAAUUGAAUAUAUUAAACAGCAACUUAAAAUCUGAAUUUGACAUGAAAGAUCUUGAAAUUUCUAAAAAGAUUCUUGGCAUAUAAAUUUAUAAGGAUAAAGAGAAAAACAUGUUAUCUCUGAAUCAGUAUGAUUAUGUGAUCAGAAUUUUGAAAAAAUUCAACAUGCUUGACUGUAAAUCUGUGUCUCUGCCUCUUGCUAAUCAUUUUGAGCUUACUCUAAUCUCUGUCCCAAAACUUUUGAAGAAUCUGAUAACAUGUCACAUGUACAUUAUGCUAAUGUUAUUGGUUCCGUGAUGUACUUGAUGGUAUGUACUAGACCUGAUCUUACUUUUAGUAUUAGCAUAUUGAGUAGGUUUAUGAGUAACCAUGGGGAAGAACAUUGGAAUGCUUUAAAAUGUCUCUUGAGAUACUUAAAGGGUACUGGAAACUUGGGUCUUGUGUUUAAAAUGAACAAAGAAUGGGUAACUUUAAAAGGAUUUGCUAAUUUUGACUUUGCUGGAAAUAAGGAUAAUAGAAAAUCAACUUCAUUUUACUUUUUCAGCUUAUGUGGUACAGUAGUCAGUUGGAAAUCACAAUUAUAAAAGAUUGUAGCUUUAUCUUCAACUGAAGCCGAAUACAUUACUGCUUCUGAUACUUUUAAAGAAGGAAUAUGGCUAAGUGGUUUACUAAAGGAACUUGGUUUUGUUGAUGAAAAUUCAACAUUAUAUUCUGAUAAUCAAAGUGCUAUACAUCUUAGUAAAAACCCCA
rnacentral:sRNA from 1 species